rnacentral:rRNA from 1 species
GAUGAACGCUGGCGGCGUGCCUAAUACAUGCAAGUCGAGCGAACAGACGAGGAGCUUGCUCCUCUGACGUUAGCGGCGGACGGGUGAGUAACACGUGGAUAACCUACCUAUAAGACUGGGAUAACUUCGGGAAACCGGAGCUAAUACCAGAUAACAUGUUGAACCGCAUGGUUCAACAGUGAAAGACGGUCUUGCUGUCACUUAUAGAUGGAUCCGCGCCGCAUUAGCUAGUUGGUAAGGUAACGGCUUACCGAGGCAACGAUGCGUAGCCGACCUGAGAGGGUGAUCGGCCACACUGGAACUGAGACACGGUCCAGACUCCUACGGGAGGCAGCAGUAGGGAAUCUUCCGCAAUGGGCGAAAGCCUGACGGAGCAACGCCGCGUGAGUGAUGAAGGUCUUCGGAUCGUAAAACUCUGUUAUUAGGGAAGAACAAAUGUGUAAGUAACUAUGCACGUCUUGACGGCACCUAAUCAGAAAGCCACGGCUAACUACGUG